UGAUAGAGGCGCGAAGUCCAAGAGUACCGUUCUCCAAAGGUUCAGGCGGGGGAGCGGGAAAGGGGCCUUCGCCGAGGUGCGGCCCGCCUUGCCUGAAAGGCCGCCGCGCCGGGCCGCGGGAGAACAUCCCCCGGACUGUCGCCCCGAAAACUCGGGGCGGAGCGCUGUCGU
rnacentral:ncRNA from 1 species